GCAGCCAGGCGGGGAGGGAGCUCCGUUCUCUGCAAAUUGAAGGCACCCAGACAGAUGUACAGAGCCUGGGUAUGCAGCUCCAUCCAUAAAGACACUACUUACUGGAGCAGAAAGGAAGAGAGCCAGGGACAAUAGCAAUAGCUGUUAACUGCUCCUUACUGAACAUCCAGAAAGAAUUUUAGCCAGGAUUUUGGCUCGUUUGCCAAUGCAAUUACCAUCUCCCCAGACGUGACAAAACUUGGGGCUCAUUGGAUUAUUGGAAUCUAAAAGGAUAGCCAGAUCUGUGGACUUUUUUCAAGAUGAUGGAUUAUUUUGACCUUUCUUUUCCGUCCUUUCACCACCGCCCCCCCUCCCCAGCCAGCAAACUUGGAAGUUGCCUUGCACUGUUGAGAACACGUUGAUGCGGUAUUGAGUUUGGAUGAUGGGAAUCACUGACUCAAAGCACUUGCACAAGGAGUAGUGGCCCCGCUGAUGGAAAAUUAUUGCGGGACUCUUCUGGGAUUAUUGGAGUUGGACCAUUUUUCAUUGGGAGAUGCUUGGGGUGUAUACUGUUGUGUCAGGAACGUGGAAACAUCAUGGUUCGAAACAUCAAGCGUCGAGAUCCGCAUUGUAGUUUCUAUAUGGAGUUAUACGGAUGGCUCUUAGGAAAUUAUUACCCUCCUUUCCCAAUAAAAACCCCUGGAAUAUGUUGUACGCUUUUGGAAUGUCCUUGCCAAUGGAUUAACGUCGCCAUUGAGUGGGUUGGAUGGAACUCCGAGGAUAUUUUAUCCAGAUGAUGUAUUGAAGACCCUGGGAUGUAUUAGAGGAGACUAUGUGGAUUUAAAUCUCAGUGGGAUAACGUGGAUUGUUGCUAUGUUUUGGUUUGGAGUUGCUUAAGAGGUGUAUUUCUGCAUGACCUCAAAGUGACUGAAUACAUCAGAUGAUAUUGCUAUUCCAAAUACUACCACCCACUACCUGAAGAUCAAAAGACGGCUUAUUCCUAACCUCACUAUUGGAACUACAAGCUGCCAAACAUGACAUCGUGAGCAACAUUUGCUCAGCACUGAAGGCUAAAACUCAACAUUCCCUCUGACAAAUCUAAACAGGACACAAUGACAAUAUCAAAAAUCAGCGCAUCAUUUCAACACCUCUUCAUUUUGGUCUACAUCUGUGCUUAAUUUGGCAUUGGACACCUUUUCUAAUAUAAUUCGGAAAAUAAACUGCAAGGAAGGAAGAUUGCUGAAGAAAUGAGAGAAAAUACCACAUGAAAAAAUGACUGUUGUUGAUAGAUUUCAAUGAGGGACCUUUUGAAUGGAUUUCCACUGUUAACAAUUUGACAGUUAUCUAAUUCGUCUAAUCCUGAGAUUGCCAGAUGAAAAUUUCUGCUUGAACAGUAUUCAUUUGUGUCUGAAGAAUUUUAUUGUCACGAAUAGGUAAUAUUAAUGAGCAUUGGGUUGUAAAUGCUUCAUGGAUGUGGAAUCUACAGUUUGAACUUGGUAUCUUUGAGAUAUUUUAUUGUCCUUUUAAAUGUAGCGAAUAUUAGGAUUUAGUGAUUGUUUUAAAAUUUUUACACUACAAAUGAAGUGAACCAACUGGCUCUAUAUGUUCGUUUGUGUUUUCUCAUAAAACAAACUUUCAUCUAUGUAUGAAUUGUGUUCAGUUUUAUCUAUUUAUUGAGUGUAUGUCCAAAUAAUUAUGAUUACGCUAUACUCUGUCUUCCCUUUUAAAUCAUUGUCCUUUUGAAAUGUUUGAACUCCUUAAUUCUAAAAUGACCAUCAGAAAGGACUCCUACAGAAAAUUACUUAUUGACAUUCAUAUCUUUACUAAGGUUAAUUGGCUCGGAGCAGUUUAGACAAAGUUACUUUGUGAUGUGCAAUAGCAGCACUUCCAACAUAGAAAAAAAAGCCUGUGCAUGAUUUCAGUAGAAUGCUGGGUUCAAGAUGUAUGGUAUCUGUCAGUAAUGUGUUCUGUGUUAUCUCUAUGUUACCACACAAAAGGAAAUUAGUGUUAUACAGCAUCUUAUUAAAGGUUUUAAACAUGCCAGGAAUAGAAAGCUGAAUUCAGCAAAAUAUAAGCUGGCUCAGUGCUAUAACUUGCUGCCAAUACAUUUUAUUUAAAAUAGAGGCUGGGGGCUACAUGUGAUUUCAUACUGAUAAUGAUAGAUAAAGAUUUAUUGCCCUCUCAAUUCAUAUGUUCUUCCUUUCCAGCUAUGCCUCUGACAUGACCAACCAAGUAAUACAUGUAAAAUGAAGUUUUAGUCACUCGAGAGAACUGACGUUUUGAAAAAGAAAUCUACUGACAAUCAACACAACCUUAAAAUAGCUGCUCCUAUUUGUUUUGAGUGACUACAGAGGCAAUGUUUCAUCUUUUAUUUAAAACAUGGAUUCUAGUAAGAUAAUUUGAUGUGUAACUUUCAAUUUCAUUUUGUAAUUAUGAUUUUACUUUGCAAUUGUAAAGUGCAUGUAUGACCUUGCAUAAUAAAUAUUUUACAAAGAAAA